rnacentral:rRNA from 1 species
GACGUAGGGCGCGAGCGUUGUCCGGAUUUAUUGGGCGUAAAGAGCUCGUAGGCGGCUUGUCGCGUCGUCUGUGAAAACCCGCGGCUCAACGGCGGGCUUGCAGUCGAUACGGGCAGGCUGGAGUUCGGUAGGGGAGACUGGAAUUCCUGGUGUAGCAGUGAAAUGCGCAGAUAUCAGGAGGAACACCGGUGGCGAAGGCGGCAUCCUGGACCGACACUGACGCUGAGGCGCGAAAGCUAGGGGAGCAAACGGG